rnacentral:lncRNA from 1 species
UGAGGGAAGAGAAUAGGGCACAGUGGAAAGAAUACAACCUCGAACCACACAGGGACCCUGUGACAAUGUGAUCUCUGCCACUUUCUUGCUCUGUGAAUUGAGAGAGAUUAUUUCAGUUCUCUCGGUUUUCACUUUCUUAAUCCUUUCCUUAUUCAAUCUGUUUGUUUACCUUGCUCAGACAACACAAAAGAAGACACAGAAGCACCAUGGGCAAACCAUGGAACAAGAACUGGAAUGAAUAUCUAUUCCACUACCUGAACUAAAGACUGCAGACGGAGAAAGGGAAGACAGGGGUUUAACUGGCAAUUCAAAGUGAGGUGAUCAGCCUUCUGUUACAGAGUUAACUGUGUGUGAAAGAAUGUAAGAUUCAUGUAUACAUCUGACAGUGACAGCUGUAUGGCCACAGCUUCAUGCUAUCAAGGCCCUUCAGUACAAGAUUGAAGUGAAGUGAUGAUAUUUGACAUCCUUGACUUCAAAGGAAAGCUUUGAAAAUCUCACCAUUAGAUAAGAUGCUUGCAGUGGAUUUUUUUUUAAAUUUGUAAUUAGCCUUUAUCAGAUUGAGGAAGCUCCAUUCUAGUUCUAGUUUUCCAUGAGUUUUUAUUUUUAACUUUUAUCAGGAAUGGAUUUUAAAACUCAUCAAAUGCUUUUUAUGUAUCAAUGAGUUGAAACCUAUUUUUUUAUUUUAUUCUUAAUAUGACCAAUUACAUUGCCUUUCUAAUGUUAAGCUAACCUGAAUUUCUAGUAUAAACCAACUUGCUUAUGAUGAAGUCUUUUUACCAACUGCUGGGUUUACAUUUUUAAGAAUUUUGGGGUCUAUGUUCAUAAUGAGAUUGGACUGUAUGUUUCCCUUGUCAUACUCUCUUGAUUGGUUUUUGGUAUCAAGAAAAUCCAGUCUGAUACCAUGUAUUAGAGUUUAUCUUAUUUUGUCGUUCUCUGGAAAUAUGUAGGAUUGAUAUUAAUUUUUCAUUGUGCCUGUUAGUAAAGAUGUUUGAACCUAAACAUUAUUUUGGAGGAAGUUUUAUAUUGCUGUUUCAGUUUCUUUAUGUUUAUCUCAGUUUUUUAUUAUAUCUUUUGUCAAAUUUAUAAGUGGUCGUUUUCUAGAAAUUUUCUGGACAGUUUCUUCUGAAUUUCUCAAUUUAUUGGAAUAAAGUUAUUACAUACAGUUAUUAUCUUUGUAAUAUCUAUAGAAUCUCCUGUUUUAUUCCUGAUGUAAGUUAAUUUUCUCUUCUUAAUUAUUCUCUUGAAAAAAAAAUAUAUGUGUGUGUGUGUAUAUAUAUAUAUAAAUGUUACUAGCCUCCCAGUUUUGGCUUUGUCUUCUCUAUUAUAUUUAAUUAUUAGUUUCAUCCUCAUUCAUCAAUGCUCUUUCUUUAAUGGUUUCUUCUUUUUACUUUCUUUUUUGCUGUUCUUUUGUAAUUUCUCAAGACAGAUGCUUAAAGCAUUACUUUUAAGCCAUCUUUUCUUUUGAAUGUGUGCUUCUAAGGCUAUACAUUUUACAUGCUGUACUUUUCAAAUUUUAAUAUGUAGUAUUUUCAUUAUCAUUCAGUUUAGUAUACUUUCUUUUUUCUCCCAUGAUUUCCUUUCGAUGUGUUUUUAUAAUGUCCAAACAUAUAGUAAUUUUCUAGGUAUAUUUUGAUUGUUAAUAGUUGUUAAAAACAUAUACCUUUUUAAUUAAUUUAUUUGUACUUGUUUUAUGGCAUAGGAUACUGUCCAAUUUUUAUAUUUUUGCAUUUGGGGGCUAUAAUAUUUAUUAAAUCUUUCUUUCUCUGUAUCCUUCUUGAAUUUAUAUAUGCAAACUGCCACUGACUGUGCAUUUGGGUUCUUCUUAUAAUUUUAUUAUUUUAUAAAAUUAUGCAUUUUGAGGUCAUGUAAUUGAGUGGAUGUGUAUUUUAAACUGUUUAAACUUUCUUGGUGAUUCUUUUAUCAUUAUUUAUUUAUAUUUAAU